AUUUCAACUGCUUUUGAUCUACUUGUUCUUGAGCUCUGUGAAAUUAAUAGGAGGGAGCAACCUUUCAAGCAUUCAUUCAGCACCUGCUCUGAGUCUUUUGCUGCUAUUGGAGAUCAAGAGAAAUUCGAUCAUCAGGAAUUGAAAUAUCCUAAGGAUAAACCACUUAGGUGAUUUCAGCAUAUUUCUGAAACAUGAGCUUGUUGGUUUGGGGCAUGGUAUAACAUCACAUGUCACAGCAUACUUAUUCACUGACUGGCAGACUUCUGAUUCCAAUGGAGAUAAGAAGCUUAAAAUUUUUUUAAUGACCUUUAUGUUGAAGUAUAACGUACAUAUAGAAAGUUCAGAAGUGUACAGAAGUCAUCACAAAGUAAAUACAGUGGUGUAAUCAGCACCCAGGUCAAGAAAUAGAAAAUUUCCAGAACACUUUCAUACACAGGUAAAAUGUAUCUUUUGUAUAAAGAUAAAAUGUCUAUCCUGACUUCUAACACUUUAGAUUAGUGUUGUCUGUUUUGAACUUUAUAUAAAUGAUGAAAUCUUAUAGUUGGUAUUAUUUUUGUCUGGCUUCUUUAAUUACAUUUGUGAUAUUCCUCUUGUUGCAUGUAGCAAUACUUUGUUCAUUUGCAUUCCUCCAUGAUAUUUUACUAUGUUAAGAUAUUAUAAUUUAUUUAUCAUUCUACCAUUAAUAGGUAUGUGUGUGGUUAUCAGUAUUGGGCUAUUACAAAUAAUGCUCUGUUAAGAACAUCCGUAUAUUCCCUUUGCUGUAUAUACAUACUCAUUUCUGUUAGUUACAAACUUAGGAGUAGAAUUACCGAUUAAUAGGGUAUUCAUAUGUUCAGCUUUAGUCAGCUCUACGCAGUGGUAUCCAAAAUGGUUGUAUCAUAUUAUACUCCCACCAGCAGGGUAAUAGUUUCCAUUGCUCUACACUUAUAUUAGCUCUUAGAAUUGUUGGUCUUUUAAAUUUUAAUCUAUUCUUGUGAAUGUAUAUCUGGAUGUCAUUGAACUUUUAGUUUAUAUAUCCCGAUGACUAGUGAGGUUGAAUACUUUUUUAUAUGUUUAUUGGCAAUUUGGAUAUCCCUUUUUGUGAAGUGCCUGUUCAGCUUUUUUGCUUAUUUUGUAAUUGUGUUGUCUUUUUUAUAUUGAUUAGUAGGAGUUUUUUAUAUAUUUUGGAUAUGAAUCCUUUGUUGGUUUUAUAUAUUGUAUUUUCCUGUACUUCGUGCUUUCAGUUUUCACUCUCUUAAUGGUAUCUUUUGAUAAGCAGAAGUUUCUAAUUUUAAUGUAGUCCAGUUUAUCAAUCUUUUCCUUAGUGACUAAUGUUUUUUAUGUCCUGUUUAAGGAGUAUUUGUCUAUCCUGAGGUCAUGAUGAUACUCUUAUUGUCUAGAAGCUGUAUCAUUUUACCUGUCAUGUUUAGAUCUACAGUUGACUGGACUAAUUUUUUUUUUUAAGAUUUAUUUAUUUAUUUGACAGAGAGAGAGAGAGCACAAGAAGGUAGAGCAGCAGGCAGAGGGAGAGAGGGAGAAGCAGACUCCCUGCUGAGCAGGGAGCCCAACAUGGGGCUUGAUCCCCGGACCCUGGGAUCAUGACCUGAGCCAAAGGCAGACGCUUAACCGACUGAGCCACCCAGGCGCCCCUGGACUGAUUUUUUUGAGCGUAGUUUAAGGAGAGUUCACAGUUCAGUUUUUUUCCAUGUGAAUAUCCAUGUGGCCAGUACUGUUACCAAGAUGUUCUUUUCCCAGUCUUUCCAGUGCCAUUUGUCUUAAAUCAAGUAUUCAUAUUAUGUGUGAAUCUAUUGCUGAGUUCCUUCUCUUCCAUCACACUAGUGUCACACUCUCUUAAUUGUGGUACCUUUAUAACAAUAAAGGUGUUUUGUUUUGUUUUUUUAAAGAUUUUAUUUAUUUCUUUGACAGAGAGAGAGACAGCGAGAGAGGGAACCACAAGCAGGGGGAGUGGGAGAAGGAGAAGCAGGCUUCCCGUUGAGCAGGGAGCCCAAUGUGUGGCUUGAUCCCAGGACCCUAGCAUCAUGACCUGACCCAAAGGCAGACACUUAACGGCUGAGCCACCCAGGUGCCCCACAGUAAAGGUCCUAAUAUCUGAUAGUACAUCUCUUCAAGCAUGGUUCUGCAAGAUUAACUUGGCUAUUCUUGGGCAUUUGCAUUUCCAUUUAAACUUUAUAGAGUGAGCUUAUCAAUAUCUGCCAAAAAACCUACUAAGAUUUUUACUGAAUUGGUAUUUAAUUUAUAGAUCAAUUGGGGGAGAUUUGACGUUUUUAUAUUAAGUCUCUUAAUCCACGAGCAAAGUAUAUCCUUCCAUUUAUUCCUGUCUUCUUUGAUUUCUCUCAGUAAUACUUUAUAGUUUUCUGUGUACAGAUUUUGCACAUCUUUCAGUAGACUUGUUCCUUGCUUUUGGUGUUUUUUGACACCUUUUUAAAUGGUAAUUUUUCUUGUAUCACUUGUUUUUUUUUUGCUCUACCCCUUCUCCUCUCCCUUCCUCUAUCACUUUUUUUUUAAAUCAGGAUUUAUUUUUUUUUUAUUUUUUUUAAUUUAAUUUUAUUUUUUUAUUCUUAUGUUAAUCCCCAUACAUUACAUCAUUAGUUUUAGAUGAAGUGUUCCAUGAUUCAUUGUUUGUGCAUAACACCCAGUGCUCCAUGCAGAAUGUGCCCUCCUCAAUACCCACCACCAGGCUAACCCAUCCUCCCACCCCCCUCCCCUCCUCUAUCACUUUUAAAUUUUAAUUUUCUAAAAAAAAAUAAUUUUCUAAUUGCCUAUUGCUGGUGUAUAGAAAUAGAAUUGAUAUUUGUUGACCUGUAUUCACUUGCUGAAUUCACUUACUGUUUCAUGCCCUCUUCCAAUAAUAGUAGUUUUAUUUCUUUACAGUUCUUAACUUUUUUCUUUUUCUUGCCUUAUUGCACUGGCUAGAGCCUCCAGUACAGUGUUGAAUAGAAGGUGGUAAUAAUAGACAUUCCUGACAUCAGGCAGCUUUGAAUAUCUCACCACUAAAUAUGAUGUUUUCUGUUAGUUAUUUGAGGAUACUCUUUAUUAGAUUAAGGGGCAUUUAUUCAGUGACCAGCAGACUUCCUGGUUCUAACAGAUUGAUAAAAAGGUAUAGCCCUCUAAAUGUUAACAAUUGGAGAAUUUCGGUGAACUGGUGUAUACAGACAGUCCCCAACUUAUAGUGUGAUUAACUUACAAUUUUUCAAAUUCACAAUGGUACAAAAGCAGUACACAUUUAGUAGAAACCAUACCUCAAAUUUUGAUCUUCUCUCAGGCUAGCAAUAUUCAGUAUAAUGAUCUCUUAUGAUACUGGGCAGCGACAGCAAACUGCAGCUCCCAGUCAGCCAUGCAGUCACAAGGGUAAACAACCCAUACACUUAGAACCAUUCUGUACCCAUACAGCCAUUCUGUUUUUCACUUUCAGUGCACUGUUCAGUAAAUUACAUGAGAUGUUCAACACUUAAUUAUAAAAUAGACUUUGUGGAGUGCCUGGGUGGCUCAGUCGGUUGAGUGUCCAACUCUUGGUUUCAGCUCAGGUCAUGAUCUCAGGGUCAUGGGGUCGAGCCUCAUGUCAGGCUCUGCACUCAGUGGGGAAUCUGCUUGAGAUUCUCUCCCUCUCCCUCUGCCCCUUCCCCCAAUCUUGCGUGUGCGUGCAUGCACACACACACUCUCUCAAAUAAAUAAAUAAAAUCUUAAAAAAUAAAAUGGGCUUUAUAUAAGAUGAUUUUACCCAACUGUAACCUAAGGUAAGUAUUCUGAGCACAUUUAAGGUAGGUUAAAUGUAUUAAAUGCAUUUUUUACUUACAAUAUUUUGAAUUUACAGUGGUUUUGUCAUUAUAAAAUGAUACUUUGUCACUUUGAAAAUUUCUCAAGUUAAAUAGCUAGACAAAUGCAGCCAAAGUAUAGUCCUAUUUUAUCUUGACAUUUGAUUUUCCACUAUUAUUAACAGAACCUCUUUAAGUGGCUAAAUGUGUAGGAGGUAUAUAAUAAAUAAUAGCACUGCCCAAAUUUCCCUUGGUAACUCUAUAAUAACUGCUGUUCAAAACUCUUGACCUUUAAGAACCAUCAGUCACGAUGUUCUCAGCUGCAAAAUGUGAACUGAGUUAUGAGUAUUCAGAAAUGCUGUAGUGAAUACACAGAAGGCCUCUAAAGCAUGGAAAUGCACCUUUGUGUAGUUGAGAGACAGUAUUAUAUAGUAGACUAGAGUCAGUUUGCCUGGAUUUGAAUCCUGCCUUCACAAAUCACUUAGCUAUGUGACCUUCGGCAAGUCAUGUAUUCUUUUAAAGCUUUAAUUUUCUUAAAAUCUGUGGACACAGUGACAAUAUGUACCUCCCACAGUUGUUGUGAGGAUUCAAAUAGUUAUUAGUUAUCCUCAGUAAAUUUAGUUAUUGAUUAGAACUGGCUCUCUUGGGGCGCCUGGGUGGCUCAGUCGGUUAAGCCUCUGCUUUCAGCUCAGGUCAUGAUCCCAGGGUCCUGGGAUGGAGCCCUGCAUCGGGCUCCCUGCUUGGCAGGGAGCCUGCCUCUCCCUCUCCCCGACUUCUGCUCUCUCUCUCCCCCUCUCUCUCUCUCAAAUAAAUAAAAUCUUAAGAAGAAGAAGAACUAACUGGCUCUCUGUUUUUGAAGGCCUUUUGAAUUUCUCCUCCAUCUUAGAGUGAUAACCUAUGAUGGUCCUCACUAUAUAGAGAUUCUUUCUCAAAUACCCACUGGCCUAGGGGGGGAAAAAUGCCAAUUUAAAAAAGAAAAUAUGAGGGGUGCCUGGGUGGCUCAGUCCUUAAGCGUCUGCCUUCGGCUCGGGUCGUGAUCCCGGGGUCCUGGGAUUGAGCCCCGCAUCGGGCUCCCUGCUCGGCGGGAAGCCUGCUUCUCCCUCUCCUGCUCCCCCUGCUUGUGUUCCCUCUCUCGCUGUGUCUCUCUCUGUCAAAUAAAUAAAUAAAAUCUUUAAAAAAAAAAAGAAAAUAUGAGGUGCCCAACUGGCUCAAUCAGUAGAGCAUGCAACUCUUGAUCUCAGCGUUGUGAGUUCGAGCCCCAUGUUAGGUGUAGAGAUUAUUUCUUAAAAAUUAAAAAUCUCAGGGGCGCCUAGGUGGCUCUGUCAGUUAAGCGUCUGUCUUCGGCUUAGGUUGUGAUCCCAGGGUCCUGGGAUCGAGCCCCACAUCGGGCUCCUUGCUCAGCAGGGAGCUUGCUUUUCUCCUUUUCCCUCUGCCUGCCGCUCCCUGCUUGUGCUCUCUCUCUCUCUCUGUCAAAUAAAUAAAUAAAAUCUUUAAAAAAAAAAAUUAAAAAAUUAAAUCUUAAAAAAGUACCAUCUAAAGUUGCAAACAGGUGACGCUGCGGUGCACCAAGUCUCCCCACGUCGCAUUGCCAUGGCUGCCCAUGGCGUUGCUGCUGCCGGCAAGGGUCUGUGCUACACCGAGUAGUCGCCGCCGGCAACUAAACGGCCGGACGCGGACAUGGACCAGGGACUGGCAAGAAGUUUGAUAGCUGUAGGACUGGGUGUUGCAGCUCUUGCAUUUGCAGGUCGCUAUACAUUUCAAAUCUGGAAGCCUCUAGAACAAGUAAUCACAGAAACGGUGAAGAAGAUUUCCACUCCUAGCCUUUCAUCCUACUAUAAAGGAGGAUUUAAACAGAAAAUGAGUAGGCGAGAAGCUAGUCUUACUUUGGGUAUAAGCCCAUCUGCUGGCAAGGCCAAGAUUAGAACAGCUCAUAGGAGAAUCAUGAUUUUCAAUCACCCAGUUAAAGGUGGAUCUCCUUACUUAGCAACCAAAAUAAAUAAUGCAAAAGACUUGCCAGAAGCACCACAAAACAUUGAUUGAUGCUUAAGAAUCAUUCUGAAGGAAAAAAGGGGGGGAAUAUAAAACAAGUCCUGCAAAGUAGUCUAAACCACGGUGUUCGUAAUUUUCAUACAUGCACUAACCACAAUCAUUUAUUCCACUAUUAAGGUAUAUAAUAAUAAAAGAUUAACAAUCAAAAAAAAAAAGUUGCAAACAGGAACGCCCGAGUGGCUCAGUUGGUUAAGCGUCUGCCUUUGGCUCAGCAGGGAGCCUGCUUCUCCCUCAGCAGGGAGCCUGCUUCUCCCUCUGCCUGCCGCUUCCCCUGUUUGUGUGCUCUGUCUCUCUGACAAAUAAAUAAAAUAAAUAAAAUCUUUAAAAAAAAAAAAAGUAAAGUUGCAAACAUAUAUUCUAUUGCAAGCAAUGAAAACUGGCAGGCCAAAUUCAGCCCACAGAUAUGUUUUAUUAAUAAGUGUUUAAAUUUGAGGGCGCUUGGGUGGCUCAGUUGGUUAGGCGACUGCCUUCGGCUCAGGUCAUGAUCCUGGAGUCCCGGGAUCGAGUCCCGCAUCGGGCUCCCCGCUCGGCAGGGAGUCUGCUUCUCCCUCUGACCCUCCCCACUCUCAUGUGCUCUCUCUCAAAUAAAUAAAUAAAAUCUUUAAAAAUAAAUAAAUAAAUAAAUAAAAUAAGUGUUUAAAUUUGAAUUUGUGGCCAACUAAUCAAAACAUCAAAAAAUCUCUCAAGAAUUGCUCUCGAAAAUUUCAAAAGUAAGCUUAAACCAGAUUCUUACGGGCAUUAAACUUGCAAGAGACCCUUUUCUCAGUGUGAGCAAAAAUUGUACUAAGUGCUAAGCUGAAUUUUAUCUCUUUAUAAAAGAAAGACAUAACUGGGUGUUGAUGAGGUGCCAUGAGACUCGUCCACUGGCAGUCAAAACACAAAUGGGCAGUUGUGGAAAGCUCUCAGACUGUGUUGCUCAUGAGUCUGACAUCCAUACCAUCUUACCUGGUAAUCUCACAACUGGAAAUAUUUUCAAGAGAAAUAACCUUAAAAGUUUUUUGCCCAGUGAUAUUGUGUCACUUAAAAUAUUCAGAAACUGGGGAACUGUUAAAGAAACUAGGGAAUUUUUUUUUUUAAGAUUUUAUUUAUUUGAGAGAGAGAGAGAAUGAGAGAGAGAGCACAUGAAAGGGGGGAGGGUCAGAGAGAGAAGCAGAUUCCCCGCUGAGCAGGGAGCCCGAUGCGGGACUCAAUCCAGGGACUCCAGGAUCAUGACCUGAGCCGAAGGCAGUUGCUCAACCGAGCCACUCAGGCGCCCAGAAACUAGGGAAUGUUUAAGUAAAUUCUGGUAUAUACAUAAUUAGAAGAUUAUGUACCUAUUAAGACAGUAAAUGUGUGGGGUGCCUGGGUGGCUCAGUCAUGAAGCGUCUGCCUUCGGCUCAGGUCAUGGUCCCAGGGUCCUGGGAUCGAGCCCCACAUCAGGCCCUCUGCUUGGCGGGAAGCCUGCUUCUCCCUCUCCCACUCCCCCUGCUUGUGUUCCCUCUCUCACUGUGUCAAAUAAAUAAAAUCUUUAAAAAAAAACAGUAAAUGUGAAAAACAAAUAGUAAUAUGAGAAAUGCCAAUCAUAUAAUGAUAGGUGAAGAAAGGUGCCAAGUUGGGGUUUUUUAGGGUUUUUUUCUUUAAGUUUUUUUUUUUAAGAUUUAUUUAUUUGAGAGCGCAAGAAAGAGAGAGCGCACAAGCAGAGGCAGAGGGAGAAGCAGGCUCCUCACCGAGCAAGGAGCCCGAUACGAGACUUGAUCCCAGGACCCUGGGAUCACAACCCAAGCUGAAGGCAGAUGCCCAACUGACUGAGCCACCCAGGCGCCCUAAGAUUUUAUUUUUAAGUAAUCUCUGCACCCACCGUGGGGCUCGAACUUACAACCUGGAGAUCACAAGUCACAUGCUCCACUGAUUGAGCCACCCAGGUGCCCCAGAUGCCAAGUUUUAUAUACCCUAAUUGCAAUGACUUAAAGGUAAAAAAAUCUGAAAGGAAGUGUAAUAAAAUAUAGUGCUUAGGUUGUUAAUGGAAUUUUUCCCUUUAUUUUCCAGAUUUUCUGUAAGGUGAUUCUAAUUUUAAUGUUUAUGUGUCUACUUUAUGUAUCUGAUGUUUAGGUAAAACCUCAGAGACUGCCAUGCCAUCCCCCACUGACCACUCCCAGUGCUCUCAUUCCCCGCCCCCCCUCUUCCAGAUAACCCAAGCUGCCAGUGUCAGUCCAUUUGGUUCACUCAGACCCACAUAGAUUUGUCUUGUUUAUUUUAUUCUAGGAAGACAAA